rnacentral:lncRNA from 13 species
GGUUUUCACAUCCGGUGUUCAGGAAAAUAACUAUUUGAUUAGCUUAUUGAAUUUUACAUUUCUCUUUCUAGGCUUAAUGUUUCUAAAGCCUCAUGCGGUGCUACUGUAUUAAAAAGUCAAGCUAAUAAUGUUGUCACUAGGGAGGACAGUGAAUAUGAAUUUGGGUUAGCAAUUGCUAAGCAGAUCUCUUUGUGAACUUGAGUGGGCAACAUCCCAUCCAGGGUACAAGUCCCAGUGCAGUAGACACACAUGACAUCGAAAUCAACUUGCUGAGCUCAGUCAAAAGUUUCCAGGGCUUGGAACAAGUUCAAAGAAGAAGAGGAAGGUCUUUUCUUCACAAGAACUGCUGUUCUGGAACAUUGAAUUAUUUGCCACUGUAAUAUCCUUUAUUAUUGAAGAAGAAGAAAAAGGAGAAGGAGAAGAAUGAAAGGACAUUUUACUUUUGCAAUGCUUUCUCGUAUUAUUCUUUUUGUAGUAACAACCUGAGAAAUAAAAAUAUAUCGGUCAUUACUCA